rnacentral:rRNA from 1 species
UACGUAGGGCGCAAGCGUUUGUCCGGAAUUAUUGGGCGUAAAGAGCUCGUAGGCGGCCUGUUACGUCUGCUGUGAAAUCCCGGGGCUUAACCCCGGGCGUGCAGUGGAUACGGGCAGGCUGGAGGCAGGCAGGGGAGAACGGAAUUCCCGGUGUAGCGGUGGAAAUGACGCAGAUAUCGGGAGAACACCGGUGGCGAAGGCGGUUCUCUGGGCCUGUACUGACGCUGAGGAGCGAAAGCGUUGG